GCCUCCCAAUGCUUUCCCAUGGGAUGUGCUGAUCUGAGCAAAUGAAAUGGAGCUUCCCCGAGGACACUGGCAUUGCAAGAAAGAAAAAGUAAGUAAACGUGCCUAUUUAACAGUGGCAGCAGGGAUCCAAUGACCUACAUGGUGACUAGGGCACUAUAGCACUAGGAACACAUUGUCAUAGUUUCCCCUUUAAAUGUGGUGGCUGGCUAGCACCCGCUAACACUGCUAGC